rnacentral:rRNA from 1 species
UUGCUUUCUCAGCGAGUGGCGAACGGGUGAGUAACGCGUGAGGAACCUGCCUCAAAGAGGGGGACAACAGUUGGAAACGACUGCUAAUACCGCAUAAGCCCACGACCCGGCAUCGGGUAGAGGGAAAAGGAGCAAUCCGCUUUGAGAUGGCCUCGCGUCCGAUUAGCUAGUUGGUGAGGUAAUGGCCCACCAAGGCGACGAUCGGUAGCCGGACUGAGAGGUUGAACGGCCACAUUGGGACUGAGACACGGCCCAGACUCCUACGGGAGGCAGCAGUGGGGAAUAUUGCACAAUGGGGGAAACCCUGAUGCAGCGACGCCGCGUGGAGGAAGAAGGUCUUCGGAUUGUAAACUCCUGUUGUUGAGGAAGAUAAUGACGGUACUCAACAAGGAAGUGACGGCUAACUACGUGCCAGCAGCCGCGGUAAAACGUAGGUCACAAGCGUUGUCCGGAAUUACUGGGUGUAAAGGGAGCGCAGGCGGGAAGACAAGUUGGAAGUGAAAUCCAUGGGCUCAACCCAUGAACUGCUUUCAAAACUGUUUUUCUUGAGUAGUGCAGAGGUAGGCGGAAUUCCCGGUGUAGCGGUGGAAUGCGUAGAUAUCGGGAGGAACACCAGUGGCGAAGGCGGCCUACUGGGCACCAACUGACGCUGAGGCUCGAAAGUGUGGGUAGCAAACAG